AUUGAACGCUGGCGGCAGGCCUAACACAUGCAAGUCGAGCGGAUGAAGGGAGCUUGCUCCUGGAUUCAGCGGCGGACGGGUGAGUAAUGCCUAGGAAUCUGCCUGGUAGUGGGGGAUAACGUCCGGAAACGGGCGCUAAUACCGCAUACGUCCUGAGGGAGAAAGUGGGGGAUCUUCGGACCUCACGCUAUCAGAUGAGCCUAGGUCGGAUUAGCUAGUUGGUGGGGUAAAGGCCUACCAAGGCGACGAUCCGUAACUGGUCUGAGAGGAUGAUCAGUCACACUGGAACUGAGACACGGUCCAGACUCCUACGGGAGGCAGCAGCGGGGAAUAUUGGACAAUGGGCGAAAGCCUGAUCCAGCCAUGCCGCGUGUGUGAGGAAGGUCUUCGGAUUGUAAAGCACUUUAAGUUGGGAGGAAGGGCAGUAAGUUAAUACCUUGCUGUUUUGACGUUACCAACAGAAUAAGCACCGGCUAACUUCGUG
rnacentral:rRNA from 1 species